rnacentral:rRNA from 1 species
UUGCGAACGGGUGAGUAACGCGUAGGUAACCUGCCUGGUAGCGGGGGAUAACUAUUGGAAACGAUAGCUAAUACCGCAUAAGAACAUUAUUGCAUGGAAUGUUUAAAAGGUGCAAAUGCAUCACUACCAGAUGGACCUGCGUUGUAUUAGCUAGUAGGUGAGGUAACGGCUCACCUAGGCGACGAUACAUAGCCGACCUGAGAGGGUGAUCGGCCACACUGGGACUGAGACACGGCCCAGACUCCUACGGGAGGCAGCAGUAGGGAAUCUUCGGCAAUGGGGGGAACCCUGACCGAGCAACGCCGCGUGAGUGAAGAAGGUUUUCGGAUCGUAAAGCUCUGUUGUUAAGGAAGAACGAGUGUGAGAAAUGGAAAAGUUCAUACUGUGACGGUA